UUGUUGUCUGCAGUGAGUGACAGCUCCAGUGACUGCGUGAGCGUCCAGCAUCAUCCUGCGUUACUGAUGGAGAGCUACAGCUCAUCCCCGUCUCCUCCGAACGUCUCGUCCUCCGUCCUCUAUCACAAAGAGCAGGAGCUGCAGAAUCAGAGCAGCACGUUCAUCACAGCGAGCAAGACUUCAGGUCUGUUAGGCCUCUCAACUCUGGUCUGAAUCAAAUGCUUCAGAUCACUGUGAAUCCAUCGAGACCAUCGGAGUUUGACUGUGAAUGUGGACGUGUUCGGACAGACGGAGAGCAAAUGCACUGAGACAUUUCAUAGUUUCAUAGACUGAUAAACGUCCAGAGCCUCGCUGAUGAAUAUGAAUUGCAGAAU